GGUGCCUUCGGGAACUGUGAGACAGGUGCUGCAUGGCUGUCGUCAGCUCGUGUUGUGAAAUGUUGGGUUAAGUCCCGCAACGAGCGCAACCCUUAUCCUUUGUUGCCAGCGGUCCGGCCGGGAACUCAAAGGAGACUGCCAGUGAUAAACUGGAGGAAGGUGGGGAUGACGUCAAGUCAUCAUGGCCCUUACGACCAGGGCUACACACGUGCUACAAUGGCGCAUACAAAGAGAAGCGACCUCGCGAGAGCAAGCGGACCUCAUAAAGUGCGUCGUAGUCCGGAUUGGAGUCUGCAACUCGACUCCAUGAAGUCGGAAUCGCUAGUAAUCGUGGAUCAGAAUGCCACGGUGAAUACGUUCCCGGGCCUUGUACACACCGCCCGUCACACCAUGGGAGUGGGUUGCAAAAGAAGUAGGUAGCUUAACCUUCGGGAGGGCGCUUACCACUUUGUGAUUCAUGACUGGGGUGAAGUCGUAACAAGGUAACCGUAGGGGAACCUGCGGUUGGA
rnacentral:rRNA from 1 species